AACUCAUCGGUGACCUAUAUUUUUAUUAUUGUUUUCAAGUAAGCUGUACAUAAACUAAAUAAUUGUAAAAUUUAAGCGAUUUCUGUAAUUAGAUUAUUUUUUUAUUUCGAUAUUACCUCUAUUCCUCCUAUUAGCUCAACAGAAAAAAAAGACAUUAACAAAAAUGUAUGCUUCUUCCGGAGGCAGAUUGUGAGCUUAAAUGAACGGUGACCCAAGUUUUUUUAAUUUCAUUUUUCUUUUAAGUAUAUGAUAAAGUUCAUUUAUAAAAAAAAUCGAAAUCCUAUAUUAGAAAAAAAAAUUGAUUUGUACACCGGAGCCCCCU
rnacentral:lncRNA from 1 species